AUCGAGGGCACCAUCGUAGUCGCAACUUCCACUCAACCGAGUGCAUCUUGUCCAGAUGAAGUCUCCCUUUUCGUUCAGUCGAGUAUUCCUCAAGUAACUCUGACCUUCGUUCUGAUUUCUCCUGCUCAAGGGAGAAAAAGGCUCUUGUCUUAGACGAUUGGUCCCAGUGUGUCGAUCUCCAUAGAAGAACCAUCCAAUGGCAGUGCCCACUCACAUGACAUCCCUGAAUAUGCCACUUUUGACAACUGAAAACUUGUUUGGGGAC
rnacentral:lncRNA from 1 species